rnacentral:rRNA from 1 species
AAUGAACGUUGGUGGCGUGGAUUAGGCAUGCAAGUCGAGCGCGAACCGUAGCAAUACGGGGAGAGCGGCGAAAGGGAGAGUAAUACGUGGAUACCUGACCUCGGGUUCGGGAUAGCUACGGGAAACUGUAGGUAAUACCGAAUAACAUCUUCGGAUCAAAGGUGUGAUUCCGCCCGGGGAGGGGUCCGCGUCCUAUUAGCUAGUUGGUGAGGUAACGGCCCACCAAGGCGAAGAUGGGUAUGGGGUGUGAGAGCACGACCCCACUCACUGGGACUGAGACACCGCCCAGACACCUACGGGUGGCUGCAGUCGAGAAUCUUCGGCAAUGGGGGAAACCCUGACCGAGCGACGCCGCGUGCGAGAUGAAGGCCUUCGGGUUGUAAAUCGCUGUCAGAGGGGAGGAAAUGCCGGGAAGUAAUUCAUAAUCAACUCGGUUUGACCUAGCCUCAGAGGAAGGACGGGCUAAGUUCGUGCCAGCCGCCGCCGUAA